UGGGGAAUAUUGCACAAUGGGCGCAAGCCUGAUGCAGCCAUGCCGCGUGUAUGAAGAAGGCCUUCGGGUUGUAAAGUACUUUCAGCGGGGAGGAAGGCGGUACGGUUAAUAACCGUGCCGAUUGACGUUACCCGCAGAAGAAGCACCGGCUAACUCCGUGCCAGCAGCCGCGGUAAUACGGAGGGUGCAAGCGUUAAUCGGAAUUACUGGGCGUAAAGCGCACGCAGGCGGUCUGUCAAGUCGGAUGUGAAAUCCCCGGGCUCAACCUGGGAACUGCAUCCGAAACUGGCAGGCUAGAGUCUUGUAGAGGGGGGUAGAAUUCCAGGUGUAGCGGUGAAAUGCGUAGAGAUCUGGAGGAAUACCGGUGGCGAAGGCGGCCCCCUGGACAAAGACUGACGCUCAGGUGCGAAAGCGUGGGGAGCAAACA
rnacentral:rRNA from 1 species